rnacentral:rRNA from 1 species
AGUGAACGCUGGCGGUAGGCCUAACACAUGCAAGUCGAACGGCAGCACAGUAAGAGCUUGCUCUUACGGGUGGCGAGUGGCGGACGGGUGAGGAAUACAUCGGAAUCUACUUUUUCGUGGGGGAUAACGUAGGGAAACUUACGCUAAUACCGCAUACGACCUACGGGUGAAAGCAGGGGAUCUUCGGACCUUGCGCGAUUGAAUGAGCCGAUGUCGGAUUAGCUAGUUGGCGGGGUAAAGGCCCACCAAGGCGACGAUCCGUAGCUGGUCUGAGAGGAUGAUCAGCCACACUGGAACUGAGACACGGUCCAGACUCCUACGGGAGGCAGCAGUGGGGAAUAUUGGAUAAUGGGCGCAAGCCUGAUCCAGCCAUACCGCGUGGGUGAAGAAGGCCUUCGGGUUGUAAAGCCCUUUUGUUGGGAAAGAAAAGCAGCAGGUUAAUACCCCGCUGUUCUGACGGUACCCAAAGAAUAAGCACCCGCUAACUUCGUG